rnacentral:rRNA from 1 species
CGGACGGGUGAGUAACGCGUGAGAACUUACCUUUUGGUGGGGGAUAACAGCGGGAAACUGCUGCUAAUACCCCAUAAUGCUGAGGAGCUAAAAGUGAAAACUGCCAAGAGAGAGGCUUGCGUCUGAUUAGCUAGUUGGUGAGGGUAAAGGCCUCCCAAGGCGACGAUCAGUAGCUGGUCUGAGAGGAUGAUCAGCCACACUGGGACUGAGACACGGCCCAGACUCCUACGGGAGGCAGCAGUGGGGAAUUUUCCACAAUGGGCGAAAGCCUGAUGGAGCAAUACCGCGUGAGGGAUGAAGCAUCGUGGUGUGUAAACCUCUUUUCUUAAGGAAGAAUCAAUGACGGUACUUAAGGAAUAAGCACCGGCUAACUCUGUGCCAGCAGCCGCGGUAAUACAGAGGGUGCAAGCGUUGUCCGGAAUGAUUGGGCGUAAAGCAUCUGUAGGUGGUUUCUAAAGUCAACUGUUAAAUCCCAGAGCUCAACUUUGGUCGAGCAGUUGAGUACUUAGGGACUUGAGUACGGUAGGGGUAGAGGGAAUUCCUUGUUUAGCGGUGAAAUGCAUAGAGAUAAGGAAGAACACCAGCGGCGAAGGCGCUCUACUGGGCCGUAACUGACACUGAGAGAUGAAAGUUAGGGGAGCGAAAGGGAUUAGCUACCCCUGUAGUC